UUUCCGAAUGGGGGAACCCAACAUCUUUAAUAGGAUGUUACGAUUGUGUGAAUACAUAGCACAUUCGAGGUAGACGCAGAGAACUGAAACAUCUAAGUACCUGCAGGAAGAGAAAGAAAAUUCGAUUCCCUGAGUAGCGGCGAGCGAAACGGGAAAAGCCCAAACCAGCAAGCUUGCUUGUUGGGGUUGUAGGACUCCAAUAUGGUAGUUCUUUCAGAUAGUCGAAUGACUUGGAAAAGUCAGUCAAAGAGGGUAAAAACCCCGUAGACGAAAUGUGGAAGACACCUAGGAGGAUCCUGAGUACGGCGGAACACGAGAAAUUCCGUCGGAAUCCGGGAGGACCAUCUCCCAAGGCUAAAUACUCCCUAGUGACCGAUAGUGAACCAGUACCGUGAGGGAAAGGUGAAAAGCACCCCGGAAGGGGAGUGAAAUAGAACCUGAAACCGUGUGCCUACAACAAGUCAAAGCCCGUUAAUGGGUGAUGGCGUGCCUUUUGUAGAAUGAACCGGCGAGUUACGAUUGCAUGCGAGGUUAAGUUGAAGAGACGGAGCCGCAGCGAAAGCGAGUCUGAAUAGGGCGUUUGAGUAUGUAGUCGUAGACCCGAAACCAUGUGAUCUACCCAUGUCCAGGUUGAAGGUGCGGUAAAACGCACUGGAGGACCGAACCCACGUACGUUGAAAAGUGCGGGGAUGAGGUGUGGGUAGCGGAGAAAUUCCAAACGAACUUGGAGAUAGCUGGUUCUCUCCGAAAUAGCUUUAGGGCUAGCCUCGGAAUU
rnacentral:rRNA from 1 species